GUGAAAGAAGGAACGAGGGAAACAAAAAAAGCUAAACCCACAACUGCGAAGUUAAACUGUGUAUUAAGUUCGGAUAAUUCUGUAUAGUUACUGUUUAGUAAUUCAAUUACAAGCACGAAGGUUUGUAUUGUUUGUAACCCUGUAAAACGAGAAUGUGAGCCUUGUUUGGGGCCGUUUUCUAUUGGUUCUAAAACGCGGUAACUACGCCAUGGACUGUUGCUAUAGAAGCCCUAAUAGCUGGGAUGAGGAUAGGCUGUGUGUCCGUCGAAAACACAUUUUGCACCGAGUUUCUGAUGUGCUUUCGCUGCUGCUACCGCAGUAGAGUUGCUGGGAAUUCCCGCUUCACGCUGGAGGAGCCUGCCUGCCACACACGUGCACUGAUUGGACAUGGCUGGGACGAGCAUUUGGAAAACUGCAUGCUAACAGCUUUCUGAUUUUCGAAGGACCAGUCAACAGCUGCUCCUUUUGCAUGGAGCGUCACGCUGUCACAAGGGCCCACUGCUCCUCAAAGCCUGGAAAAUGAAGCUCCGAUCAAUUAUUUUCGAUGGACAUCUACUCACAUGUUUUAUUAGUCACUGUCUACCAUGUUUGUUCUCACCAUGCUUUCAGUGAAUGAAGCUACAAAACAAAACCAAGGUUAACUUUCUUAUGAUGGAAGUAUUCCGGACUCUUUGGUUUCAUCACGUGAAAGACUCACCGUGACAUUGUGAACUGUGAGAAGCUGAAGGUACAAAGAAUCUUUUCAGUGUAAGUAGUACCAUGUCCAAUCCCUUCACACACCUGCUUUACAGACUCUCAGCAGCAACUUUGAGUAAAGAAAGUCUGUAAGCUGCACUUAAGGCAAAUGGGAACCAGAAAUCAAGUGAGAAAAAGGAUCUGAUUGGAGAUAUAUGUUGUUUCUGCGGUGUCUUUUGAAAACAGACAUGAAUGACAAUUUUGCAUGUGAGCAGAAACAAUGUAGUGUGAAAUGCUAUUUACAGUUUCAAAUGGGCCCCUUUGUGGUGAUACUCUAGGAACGUGUAAAUCAAGAAGUUGCUGUUCAGGGCGUAACAUUAAACAGCUUCGCAAAGUUGGCUAAGAGAUUAAGCCUCAUACCAGGCAGCAUUUCUAAAGUGAACAAUCACAAACUGUUGUAUCUCUUUUGACUCAUCUCUACAUGGUGCAUUGACACACAAUAUACAAAAGUCUCAGGGGUGCACCGAACCGUUGCUUAUUUUCUUCAGUUUUGCUUCAAGCCAAACAGCUGCCCUGUUUCUUCAUCUCAAGCAAGUACGAACUUUCUUUGCUCUGUGCACGACAAAAAUAAAUUUAAACAUGCAAAGUUAAAAAAGAAAAGGAUUUUGUGUCUGAAAUAUCCUUAUAACCUUUAGAGUGAU